rnacentral:tRNA from 1 species
UACGUUUUAGUAUAUGAUGUACAGGGAUUUUUGAUAUCCAAGGAUGUGGUUUGAUUCUACAAGAUGUAA